ACGAACGCUGGCGGCGUGCCUAAUACAUGCAAGUAGAACGCACAGUUUAUACCGUAGCUUGCUACACCAUAAACUGUGAGUUGCGAACGGGUGAGUAACGCGUAGGUAAUCUGCCUGGUAGCGGGGGAUAACUAUUAGAAACGAUAGCUAAUACCGCAUAAUAUUGAUUAUUGCAUGAUAAUUGAUUGAAAGAUGCUAUUGCAUCACUACCAGAUGGACCUGCGUUGUAUUAGCUAGUAGGUGAGGUAACGGCUCACCUAGGCGACGAUACAUAGCCGACCUGAGAGGGUGAUCGGCCACACUGGGACUGAGACACGGCCCAGACUCCUACGGGAGGCAGCAGUAGGGAAUCUUCGGCAAUGGACGAAAGUCUGACCGAGCAACGCCGCGUGAGUGAAGAAGGUUUUCGGAUCGUAAAGCUCUGUUGUAAGAGAAGAACGGGUGUGAGAGUGGAAAGUUCACACUGUGACGGUAUCUUACCAGAAAGGGACGGCUAACUACGUG
rnacentral:rRNA from 1 species